rnacentral:rRNA from 1 species
UACGGCUCAGUAACACGUCGUUAACCUGACCUAAAGUCUGGGAUAGCCUUGGGAAACUGAGGGUAAACCCGGAUGGGGAAAUUCUUCUGGAAAUGAUUUUUUCCUUAAAAGCAAUGCUUUGGGAUGGACGGCGGCUGAUUAGGCUGUUGGCGGGGUAAUGGCCCACCAAACCGAUGAUCAGUAUGGGCCCUGGAAGGGGGAGCCCAGAGAGGGGCACUGAAAUACUGGCCCCAGCCCUAAGGGGUGCAGCAGGCGCGAAAACUUUACAAUGCACGAAAGUGCGAUAAGGGAACUUCAAGUGCCUAUGUUCUACAUAGGCUUUUGCCAAAGGCAAGGUCUUUGGCGAAUAAGUGGUGGGUAAGACUGGUGCCAGCCGCCGCGGUAACCCCAGCGCCACGAGUGGGAGCCACGAUUAUUGGGCCUAAAGCGUCCGUAGCCGGCCUGUCAAAUCUCUUGUGAAAUCGACUCGCUUAACUUGUCGUCGAGCAGGGGACACUAACAGGCUUGGGACUGGGAGGGGUCAGAGGUAUUCCUUGGGGAGCGGUAAAAUGUGAUAAUCCUUGGAAGACCACCUGUGGUGAAGGCGUCUGACCAGAACAGAUCCGACGGUGAGGGACGAAAGCCAGGGGAGCAAAACGGAUUAGAUACCCGAGUAGUCCUGGCCGUAAACCCUGUGAGCUAGGUGU